UCUGCCACCGCUUUGACUCUCUCUUCUUGCCACUGUUUGUUCUAGAAAAGUCAUGUCGACUGCUGCGCCCUGCUUCAUCUUCCCCUAUGAUUCUCCCCGUAUCAAUCAGCCUCGCCUCGCCUUGCUCUGCCUCCACCCCUAUCCCUUGGCAUGAAUUCUUCCCCAGAUGAGCCUAGGGGUUGUCGCCUUUUGAUCAAGGAGAGAGAAGAGGAAAUACGAGGUCGGGUCGUCGCCGGCGGCACCAAGCUGACCAUAUAGCCAGCAUGUUCAUCCCCCACACCAAGAUUUUGGGAAUCAGAUCUGUAACAUGCCGGUCAAAUAGACCGUCACCGCCCCGAGCCGUAGACCUCCAUCUUCCCCGACCAGCUCCCAUCCAUGCCCUCCAGCACCAUCGGGUUUCCUCUGUGCCCCCAACAACACAGGCGAGCCCCUUGUCCUCUCUCUGCAUGUGUACCCCUAUCUAUGCCGCCUGUGCUCUAUGUAGGAGCAGGUGGAGCGGCCGCGGCCGGCGCACGCCCAUGAGGAGCCCGUGCCUGGAUUCGUGGGGUGUCUGUUACCUGAGGUCGUCGGUAGACACUGACUGAACCGCCGCCUCUGUCCUACCAUACGCUCUCUGCCCUCCACGGAUCUCUCUGAUUUUGUGCAGCACAUUGCAGGUGUUGAAGGAGGAACAGGGCCGGCAACCAGAACAGGAGCAGUACCGGAACAACAAGUUGGGCAGCCACCAAAAGCGACCUGGGAGUUGGAACAGUGGUUGUUUAAAGCAAACACAUCCCACUGAAUGUAGAGAUUAUCUAGCCAAAGGAUGGUAACCUGAGUACAAGUAUGUCUGCAGAAGAAAGAUACCUUUCCACAAGUUAUGGAGAUCUUAACAAGAAAAUAGGAUAGCCGAUUGAUGAAUUUUUCUUAGGUUUCCAUUCCAAAAAAUCGCUAUUCCCUCCUGCUAAGAUAUGUGAACAAGUACUUGGUGAGAAGACGGUACAAACGAGGAGGGAUAGUCGUGGACAGGGUGGGUCGACCACAAGAUCUCCGAGGGCUUGGCCUGGACAACCUGGGAGGGUUGGCGAUGUCCACAAGGAGGAGUCCGCGAGCAAGGAUGGUCACACCGUCAAGUCUGCUCCGGAGACCGCCUAGCUUGCCACCUCCGGGACGACAAGCGGAAAGGGAGGGGACACAAAGGAGGUAGCGGAGAAGUUCGGGCAGACCAGGACACGGCAAGGGAGGCACUGAGAGGGUCAUCCGGCGAGCCUGUUGUGCUCCUUGGCCCACUCCAAUUUGCUCACCCUUCUCUUCUUGUUCUCUUUGGUAUGGCUCUGCUGAUAGGAUCUUUUUUCCCUCAUAGAUUGAUGAUUGACGUAUUUGCUUUUCUCUCCUCUUUUGUAUGUUCAAAUUAGAUAUAUUUAUCUUGCUUUCAUACCGUCAAGGGUGGCUUCACCAUAAAGCUCCGUUCUCCUGGAAUUUAUAUCCUCAAAAUAUUGAACUCAUGGUUUAUUGGUUUUUAGAGCUUCUUAUUUAAAGCAUUUGAGUUGCUUAAUUAGUCCUGUAAUGCCAGAUAUUAUGUUUAUGGCUUAUAGGUCGGCAGAUAUGCUUAUUAAACAUUGAUUUUCCUGAGUCCUGAGUUCUCAUGUUAACGAGAGGUGCAUUUUGAAUAAUUUCCAGUAAAUAAAUGUGUGGGAGCACGGAAGUAAACUUUGUUUCUGGGUCUGCUUGCAAAUUUCAUAUUGUUCUCUGAAUCUUUUAGGUAAUCAUGGCAUACUUUCUCUGAAGGAAUUUUUUGGAUUAACCGUUUACUUGGGUGCAUUUAAUACAGGAGGACUUUAUAGUGUUUUUCACAAUUAUUCUUGCCAACAUAUAAUCCUAUGGCUUUCAUGUAUGGUCACGUUUUAUGUGGGUGAGAUUUGUAUAUGCAUAUAUAGGAUUAUUAUGAACAUCAUGAUGCAUGUUUCAAACUGGAGGUUUCAUGCCAAUUCUUCUUGUGCAUUUAGGUGAGGGCUUAAUCUUACAUAAGGGAUCGAUUGUAUUUAUGCGUUUUUUAUGUAAUCAUUGGUUCAACUGGGUUUGGUAAAAUUAUGCUUGAUAAUUACUCUUUUGAUUAAAGCAUUUUCUUACAGUCCACUAUGAGCUAAUUUAUUCUUGUGUGUUCGUGAUAGUUUUUGUUGUCGCGCCUAUUUUUAUGUAACCAGGCUUGAAAAGGAUUUGUUGGAGGCAAGUCGAUGUAUUUGGGUACUGUUUGGUACACUUUGACAUACAUGUUGGCUUCUUGCUUUCGCUUAACUGUUCUGCAUUGUUCUCAAAUUAAUUCCCUUAAGUGUUGGAUUUUGUAAAUGCUGCCACUAUCAUUGGGGAUAGUUUGCUGAUGAUAAUCAACCGGUAAUUUACUAUUAUGUACAUUAUGCUAAUUUAUCUCAAUGGUUCGUGGUAUGUAUCUUGACUCACUACUGUCAAUUUGCAUCCAUGGCGUGGAGGAGUUGUUGAAUGCCCUUCCAAGACACUUUAAUCCGAGCCGAAGGUUUCUCUUGAAAGGUAACAGCAAGUUUGACGUCAUCAAGGCGGGCUUGGGCUUAUUCUUCAGCAUCAACACACCAUCGCACCGUUCAACAAGAUGUCGAGGAGAGAAUUGGACGCUGCCGCUAUGAUCAGGAGCCGCCAGGGCAUUGUUCGCCUCCCAUGUCGACUCAAUAAACGGGGCAUCAACAUUGAUUUUUGUGUAGUUAGUAAUUGGACGAAGCCAAAGCCAACCGUUAGCAGAAUAAGAAAUAGAGGUUGAGUUUAUAGGAGCCUGAUGUAAAAUACGAGCGCCGAACAGAGCCUGACUUUUCUCUAUUCAA